GAUGAACGCUGGCGGCGUGCCUAAUACAUGCAAGUCGAGCGAACAGACGAGGAGCUUGCUCCUCUGACGUUAGCGGCGGACGGGUGAGUAACACGUGGAUAACCUACCUAUAAGACUGGGAUAACUUCGGGAAACCGGAGCUAAUACCGGAUAAUAUAUUGAACCGCAUGGUUCAAUAGUGAAAGACGGUUUUGCUGUCACUUAUAGAUGGAUCCGCGCCGCAUUAGCUAGUUGGUAAGUUAACGGCUUACCAAGGCAACGAUGCGUAGCCGACCUGAGAGGGUGAUCGGCCACACGGGAACUGAGACACGGUCCAGACUCCUACGGGAGGCAGCAGUAGGGAAUCUUCCGCAAUGGGCGAUAGCCUGACGGAGCAACGCCGCGUGAGUGAUGAAGGUCUUCGGAUCGUAAAACUCUGUUAUUAGGGAAGAACAAAUGUGUAAGUAACUAUGCACGUCUUGACGGUACCUAAUCAGAAAGCCACGGCUAACUACGUG
rnacentral:rRNA from 1 species